CACCACUCCUCGCUCGGAAACAGAAGAAUUUCUCCUCAGCGAAGCAUCAUGGCUUUUACACCAUAUCGUAGAUUGAGAGGAUCAUACGUACCUGAGACCAAGAUUAUGUUGUGCGCUAUGCUUUCUGAAGUUGUUAUACUCCCUCUGAUAUUGUUCCUUGAAUGCCAUUAUGAGUACAAGUCAAUGGCAAGUUUGAAACCUGUUUGUUUCUGGAAAAAGACUCUGACAUGAUGAACAAUUCUUCAAUACCCCCAGCCCAAUUAGGCCUUAGCCCCUCAUCUAGCAUUCGUCACACACGCCCCCUCAAGAACCUUUCUCCACCACCUUUCUAUCAGCUUGUAAUAUGCAAUCAUUCAUUGACUGAACGCAUUUGGAUGAAUUGGACAAAUAGUAACCCUUAUAAGUUCCAGUUACCCAUAUCAAAUGUGUCCACAGCUAAUGAAACCGAUGCAUUAUGUUUGUUUAAAGGUUCACAGAAAAUUGUUAGAUCUUAUAACGCAGAAAUGUGCACAGUUAAGGUUGCAUAUCAAUGUAAACAGACAGGCCUUAUUACUUUAAAUAAUGAUUAUAUAACUGGUAUCAUUAAUCGGAGAAGGGGACAAAUGUUAGUCAUUAUGAACGACACUACAAUUGAGAACUAUACACUACCUUAUAUUUUUACACCUUAUUACUGUCCUUUAUCCUCUACCAUAGAACCAAAAGUCAACAACGACACACACACACCUAUUCCAUCCACAUGUGUUAAUACAACUGCCUUCUUACAAGCUGUACAUGUGUCAUUAAAAAUCACUACUCCUGUUGUAACAAUAUGUAACACAGCAAACAAAAGGCAGAAAAGGGAAUGGUAUGACACACUGUUAG